UACCUGCAGGCAGAACACUAUAU
rnacentral:piRNA from 1 species